GGGAGGAGGAGGGAGCUGAGGAAACUUUGGGUGGUGCUGGAUAUGCUUAUGCUUAUUAUCUAAUUGUGGUGAUCGUUUCACAAGUUCAUUCAUCUUCAAACUUAUCAAAUCUUACCUUUUAACAUGGACAGUUUUUGGCAUAUCUAUUAUGCCUCGAUAAAGCUGUUAAAAAGAGAGAAAAGCCUUGGCUCAUUCCAAAUUAAGGGUGAAAUGUAGAUCAGAAAUGAAUCCCAAGGUUAGGCAAGCAGAAGCCAGUUUUUGACCUUUCUCAAGACACUAAAAGAAAAGAGAUAUUCAAGAAGUGAUUUUCAAAGUAUUAAAGGGCUCAGAAAUGUCAUCCCAAAUAUGAUGGAGAAAGGCAAGUAAUUUGGCAUUUUUCAGGCACCAGUGAUUUUCAGGGAUACCAUCUGAUAAGAGGGAUAUGAAAGCAAGUUAAAAUUAGCUUGAGAAAUAAAUGGAAUUAUAGAAGCAGAUAGGGUUAAAAACACCUUGAUAAGGGGUUAAAAGAAAUGGAAUUUGGAAUACAGAAUCCAGGACUUUGAAGGCGAUGUACAGCCACAGGAGGGAUUUUCUGAGAUGUGAAUACCUGAGCAUGUUUGAGGGCGGAAAGGAAGGAGCAGCGGAGAGGCACACGAGACGGCAAAAGAAAAAAAAUAAGAGAUGAAGCAAAGUUCUAAGUAGAUAGGUGGAUAUGGAUCUAAGAGUAAAAGUGGAUCAGGACACCACAGAAAAGAGGAAACACUUGCCUUCCAUUCAGAAAUAAAAGAAAACAAAGCAAAAGCAGAGAAAACAAAUGUUUGGUUCGACCAGGAGUUGGAAGUUAGCCAAGUGGGUACAGCCAAAGGUCAAGAAGGAGACAGAAUUGCAGCUACUUCUUAAAGUGUAUUUGAAAUGGUGCCUCAGUACUGACACAUCCAUCCACUCACUGAAAAAAAAUAAAAAUACUCAUUUAGGA